rnacentral:rRNA from 1 species
AGUGAACGCUGGCGGUAGGCCUAACACAUGCAAGUCGAACGGCAGCACAGUAAGAGCUUGCUCUUACGGGUGGCGAGUGGCGGACGGGUGAGGAAUACAUCGGAAUCUACUUUUUCGUGGGGGAGAACGUAGGGAAACUUACGCUAAUACCGCAUACGACCUACGGGGGAAAGCAGGGGAUCUUCGGACCUUGCGCGAUUGAAUGAGCCGAUGUCGGAUUAGCUAGUUGGCGGGGUAAAGGCCCACCAAGGCGACGAUCCGUAGCUGGUCUGAGAGGAUGAUCAGCCACACUGGAACUGAGACACGGUCCAGACUCCUACGGGAGGCAGCAGUGGGGAAUAUUGGACAAUGGGCGCAAGCCUGAUCCAGCCAUACCGCGUGGGUGAAGAAGGCCUUCGGGUUGUAAAGCCCUUUUGUUGGGAAAGAAAAGCAGCAGGUUAAUACCCCGCUGUUCUGACGGUACCCAAAGAAUAAGCACCGGCUAACUUCGUG